AUACUUGAAGAAGGACUGGAACAUAUUGAGGAAGGAGAUGCCUUGCUUACGCUAUGCAGAGGUUAGUGAUUGUUAUCAAAUAGACAAUUUCCGGAGAGCUGAUCAUCAGGAAUACAAGCCGAGGAUCUGGAGGCCAUAAUCAACACUCAUUAAUCAUCCAUGGAUUUGGUGCCGUUGCAUGAAAUGAAGUAACUGAAUGCUUAUGGAUUGUGAUGUUGUUACGUUUGCUUUAGAAGUGUUUAGAAUUCAGUUACAGUUGUAAUAUAUGAAUGUGAUUUUGUGCGUUGAAAUUGGAGGCAAGGUAUGCAAAUUAAGUAUCUUAAUAACUUGUUGAAAUCCAAUGGAAUGUGCCGC
rnacentral:misc_RNA from 1 species